rnacentral:rRNA from 1 species
GACAGAGGUGCCAAGCGUUAGGCGGAAUCACUGGGCUUAAAGCGUGUGUAGGCGGGCGAUCAAGCACCUUGUGAAAUCCCACGGCUUAACCGUGGAACUGCUUGGUAUACUGGGUGUCUUGAGCCACUCAGGGGCGAGCGGAACAAAUGGUGGAGCGGUGAAAUGCGUAGAUAUCAUUUGGAACGCCAAUGGUGAAAAACAG